CUUCGGCAAAUGAGGAAUCUGAUAUAUUUAAUGGGUAAUUUGCGUCUGAAUUGUGCAUUGAUGGUACCCUUAUCACCUUGGAGAUCUGAUGCCCUAA